UUUAACGGCCGCGGUAUUUUGACCGUGCAAAGGUAGCGUAAUCACUUGUCUUUUAAAUGAAGACCUGUAUGAAUGGCAUAACGAGGGCUUAACUGUCUCCUUUUUCUGGUCAAUGAAAUUGAUCUCUCCGUGCAGAAGCGGGGAUAAUUACAUAAGACGAGAAGACCCUAUGGAGCUUUAGACACCAAAGCAGAUCUUGUUAAAUACCCAAAAUAAAGGAUGAUAAACCAAAAGUUAAACCUGCCCUAUUGUCUUUGGUUGGGGCGACCGUGGGGAAAUAAAAAUCCCCCAUGUGGACUGAGAAUAAUAGUUCUUAAAAACAAGAGCCACAGCUCUAGUUAGCAGAAAUUCUGACCUUUAGAUCCGGCAAUGCCGAUCAACGGACCGAGUUACCCUAGGGAUAACAGCGCAAUCCUCUUUUAGAGCCCAUAUCGACAAGAGGGUUUACGACCUCGAUGUUGGAUCAGGACAUCCUAAUGGUGCAGCCGCUAUUAAGGGUUCGUUUGUUCAACGAUUAAAGUCCUACGUGAUCUGAGUUCAGACCGGACCCCCCCUGUUU
rnacentral:rRNA from 1 species